rnacentral:rRNA from 1 species
GAUGAACGCUAGCGGCAGGCCUAAUACAUGCAAGUCGAACGAGAUUAAGAGGCUUGCUUCUUAUGAAAGUGGCGCACGGGUGCGUAACGCGUAUGCAACCUACCUUAAUCAGGGGGAUAGCCCGAAGAAAUUCGGAUUAAGACCGCAUAAAAACACAGGACAGCAUUAUCCAAUGUUCAAAUAUUUAUAGGAUUAAGAUGGGCAUGCGUGUCAUUAGCUAGUUGGCGGGGUAACGGCCCACCAAGGCGACGAUGACUAGGGGAUCUGAGAGGAUGACCCCCCACACUGGUACUGAGACACGGACCAGACUCCUACGGGAGGCAGCAGUAAGGAAUAUUGGUCAAUGGAGGGAACUCUGAACCAGCCAUGCCGCGUGCAGGAAGACAGCCCUCUGGGUCGUAAACUGCUUUUAUUCGGGAAUAAACCUUUCUACGUGUAGGAAGCUGAAUGUACCGAAGGAAUAAGGAUCGGCUAACUCCGUG